CAGCAGCCACGGGAAUACGGAGGGUGCAAGCGUUAAUCGGAAUUACUGGGCGUAAAGCGCACGCAGGCGGUUUGUUAAGUCAGAUGUGAAAUCCCCGAGCUUAACUUGGGAACUGCAUUUGAAACUGGCAAGCUAGAGUCUUGUAGAGGGGGGUAGAAUUCCAGGUGUAGCGGUGAAAUGCGUAGAGAUCUGGAGGAAUACCGGUGGCGAAGGCGGCCCCCUGGACAAAGACUGACGCUCAGGUGCGAAAGCGUGGGGAGCAAACAGGAUUAGAUACCCCGGUAGUCCCUGUCUCUUAUAC
rnacentral:rRNA from 1 species